AGAGUUUCUGCGGCGGCGGCUUCUCUCGCUCCUGUCAUCCGCGGUGACCGUUUUUUUUUUCACUGCUUGGGGCGGCAAAAACCAUAGAGCCGGCCCUGUCUGCUCUGCUCAAGUCUCUCCCCCAGCCCUUGGCUCACUGUAGCUGCCUCUUUGUACGUUGUUGUCUUCUAGGCCGGCGAGCAGAACUGCAUUCUAGGUACGCUCGCAGCAAGGCACUCGAAGCUCCCUGGCUGUAUUUGCGACAUCCUGUCUGCUUCAGUCUAGGAAUAGCACUGGUGUCUCGAGCAGCCUCUGACCGCAGCUUCUUGUUUAGCUUGCUGUGUACGGCCACUUCCAGCUCUGCCCUGGCCUGAUGUCUGUUCCCCUUCCUGGGCAAAGGACGUUUGUAACAGCGAGCGCUUGGACAGACGCUUAAUGCAGCAAGACACUUCUGGCGCCAAAGCAUCCCAGGAGCACAUUCACCCUGAGUGACAUUCUCACCUGCACAGUGCCCUCCCCAGCCUAGCUUUCAUACAGCACAGAAGGAUGAGAGGCUGCAUCUAGGCUGAUGUGUAGCUUCUUGGAGAGAAUAGAGCGCCGAGUGGGAUCAGGCCGGGAACUGGAAGGAUGGAUCUGAAUUGAGUUCCGCUAAGUGGCAGCUUAUUUUCUUCAUGGAUGACAUUAAAUAAUGCAAAGGAAGGAGAUGGAGGGGUGAUGUCUUGCUGGACUCUUUGCCUGCUCAUGAGAUUUAAACACACGGGCUUUCUUUAAACAAACCAGAAGGGCCAUCGUGUUCUUGACUCAGUAAAAUACAGUGACUGUUGGGCAGUCUCCAGUCAGUUACUUUCAAAUACGGAGAGAAAUCUCUAACUUAUCUAGAUUGAGAUGCCUCUUAAAGGGGCCUGGUUUUCAGUCUCUUUUGAAAAUGGAGGCAUCUCCUUUUUAAAACAGUCAUUCUUGUUGGUCCUUGUGUGGUUGCUCACAAAGCCCUGGUAGCUGUCUGCACUGGACAGAUUUAUCCCCUUACAAACCUGGCUGGAUGUUUAGUACAAAUCUUCCUCCCAGUUCAGCUGUGCGGUUUUGUAACAGAUGGAAAAAUAGCUUAAGGAAGGAAUUUGGGGGGGGGGGUCCCUAACACUUGUGCCUUUAUAUUUCACCACAUCCCUGUCUUCUUACACUGAAGGAUUGUAAACCCACAGACUAGAUGUGUAAAUAAUUCAAUUAAGCAUCACUAAACAUGUUUCCUUCAUUCUCUUAGUCUGUUGCAAAUCUAACUUUCUUGCCCACUGGCUUUGGAAUAUUUUGCUGGGAUGCAGCAUGCUAUCAGUGUCGAUCCAGCUCAAGAGACUGGAUAUGAUAUUUCACAUCCUCUUUAAAUAGCCCUAUCCUGGGGAAGUGAGCACUUUGGAGGGUUGGAUGCACACUGUGAUACUAAUGAGGUUAGACACAGCAAGGGCGUACCCCAGCGUUAGAGCGAAAAGGGAGCUGGAGAGCCUUAUAUGCACAGCCUAAGAGGCUUACUUUCUAUGGUAUUUUGUUUGAAAAUGUAUUAAACAGCUCUUAUGUGUGCAUGCUGUAUUAAGUAAAUCAAGUUCUUCGGAAGGAUUAUGAAGAAUCCAGUCAUGGCAGUGAUCUUCAUCCAACGAUUUCUGGCAGAUUUUUAAUUUCCCUUUCUGUGUGGGGAGCGAAUGGUUAGAACGGCUUGAAAGCACACUGGCUUAAGGCCGUUGUUAGUUUUGCAGUAAGGCCAGCGUUAUGUCGUCAGUAAAAUAGAGACACAGAUGUGUUUUGAUGCUGAGUGCGCAUCUGCUUCCAGCAUUCUACAAGCAUGAAUCCCUCAGGGCUGGGAUUCACAAAGGUCUUAAGGUACUGACUCCCACGGAUUUCAAGGGCAGUUAAAUAGCACUGGGAAUCCCCACCAGGUAAAAUAUCUCCCUUUUGCAGCUGGGUAAACUGAGGCACAACAACCAAGCCAUUAAACUUCUCCACCUCUACCCCUGGAAGCCUGUAGGCAACAGAUCAUGUUCAAUCCUGUGUAUGGGCUGAAAAGUUUUAGGCAGGGGCUGGCUAAGGAUUGGGAAAGCUGGGUUCUGUUCUACAACUCUGCUACUUAGUCACAGGAUGAUCUUGGGAAAGUCCCUUUAAUUUCUUUCACACCAAAGAUACUGGGGAGCCCACAGUCUCAGGAAACUGAGGGGCUGAACGGCAGGCCUAUAGCCUGGUGUGCAUACACUCUAGUUCAGAGCAGGGAAGGACAGCUCAGGUGCUGCUGUGUGUUUCUGCUAACCCUGCCACGAGAGAGCAGGGAAUUCAUUACAAAUGAGCAGCAAGGACUCAGGCUGGGUGCAUGGAUGAAACAAAUGUACCAGAUUUGCUGCAUCAUUAAUUCCAUCCUUUCAGCAUUCUUGUCUACAACCUGGAGCAGCUGUGCUGGAGAAUACAGACAGGUGCCAAGGGCAGGAUAACAUUUGCUUGGGUUGUGGCUGAGGAAACUGAAAAAGCAGCAACAUCAUGGAGGAAAAACUGUUGUGGUACAAUUAAUCAGACUCAUAGUGUCUAUCAUUCUCCGGCAGAGCUGCCCACAACCCCAAGGGGAAGGGGUAGACUGGAGCAGAACCAGCUUCUACUAGUUCAUAGUCCCAGGCAGUGGCAUAAGUGUUCCAUCUCAUCCAGGAUCUUGUAACUUGCUAACACCCAGUAACCACAUGCUAGAGAGGAAGGUACAGGACACAGCAGUGGGCAGCUGCUUGUUCAGUGCAGAACUGAAGUGGAAGUGAUUGAGCCUUACUUCAUCCUAGAAGUGCAAUGUCAAAAUUCAUCUCCACCUACUGCUCUCCCUCCUAGCUGAAGCACAAGGGCCAGCAUUAGAAUUAAACUCUAACCAGCUUACCCUCCUUAUUGCUGUCGCUCUCAAACGUGCAGCAGGCACGACUGUGGUGUGUAAUGGUUCUCCUGUCACAGGUAAAAGAACAGCCAGUGGGAGGAGUUGGAGCAGAGCAUGGAGUUGUCAGGAUUGCUAGGUUCCGUUCUUGGCUCUUACCUUGGGUUAGGAUACAGCUCAUUCCAGUCAAGUCAGGGUCCAGUGUGCUAGGAUUGUUCUUGGUUGCUUUUCCCCAUCCAUGCCAGCUGGAUUUCCUUACCCCUAUUCCCAAGAAUACUGCAUCAGGGAGUAGUGAUUAUGAGUAACCCUCUACAUGGCUGUUGCCUUCUCUUCAUUCCCCUUUCCUACAGGACCUUCAUUCAGAAGCUCUUUGCUGGUAAGCAGCAGUCUGUUGGGGGUCCUGUAACAGGCAGAGUUGAUCUGAUUAGGUUGGGACUGCAUGAGGGGUAGCUAAUACCAAAAGGGCAAAGGCCCAGUAUAGAUGCAAGCAUGACAAAAAAAACUAUUCUCCUAGCUCUAGGGAGUGAGUGAGGUCUACCUGAGUCCUCUGAAUAGGGUGUGGUUAGGAAUAAACCAUGUAUACUGAAACUUUAUGCAGCUAGCGUAGACUGACUUGUGUUCAGUGGAUUGGUGCUUUGGGGAUAUUCGGGUAAAAUUUUCCACAGCAGCUAAGUCACUCUUGAAGACUGGAUGUAAACUUCUAAGUCACUUAGCUGCUAUGGAAAAUUUCCCCCCUUGUGUCCAGCGGGACAGUUCUUCAACCUCACUGCAGGAGGCUUUAGCAUGUUCAACAAAGCACAAACAAAUCAAUUAAAAGUGGAGGUUUAUGAGAGCAAAUGCUGCUGGAGCCUAAGUUUAGUGCAGAGUUGUGGAGAACUCUAGUGGUCAUUUCCCUGAACUACAGGUAAAGCUGCAAAUGCAGGACAGCCUGCAAGCGUUCAUCAGUGAAGGCUCUGGAUCCUUCAGAGCACAGGUGGCCAACCUAAGCCUGAGAAGGAGCCAGAAUUUACCAAUGAACAUUGCCAAAGAGCCACAGUAAUACGUCAGCAGCCCCCCAUCCACUACCCACCUCCAGCGCCCAGUGCCUUAGGCUGAGUUACCACAGGGUCUAUACCACGCCGGGGGGGGGGGGGGGGGGGGCGUUGUUGAUGAAAGAAAAUCUCCCGUCGAUUUACCUUACUCUUCUAGUCAGGGGUAGAGUACAGGGGUCAACUGGAGAGCGAUCUGCAGUUGAUUUGGUGGGUCUUUACUAGACCCACUGAACUGACUGCCAGUAGAUCAGUCUCAGAGCAUUGAUUCCCCACUGUAGUGUACACCCGCCCUAAGAGUAGUUCCUGAGCCACUACAGAUUGUCUACAUUUGAAGUGCUGCAGCUCUAAUUAAUCUGCCUUCCUGAGAGGCAGUAGCUAGGUCACCUGAAGAAUUCUUCUGCCAGUUUAAUGCUGUCUACACCAGAGGUUAAGUCAGCUUCAUUAGGUCAGUCGGGAUGUGGAUUUUUCACACCCCUGAGUGACAGUACCUGAGUCAACCUAACUUUAGUGUAGAGCAGGUGUUGGAUUCCUAAAUCACUUUUUGAAAAUGGGACUAAGAGUCACUUAGGCACUCUUGAAAACUUUAUCCCAGUCUUAUUCUGGAGUACCACUGAGGUCACUAAGAAUGCAGAGACUCUGAGGAAGGCUUCAGAGCUGGUGUUCACAGUAAUAGGAUUUUACUUUGAGAUUCUUCACAAUUCAAGCUUGUAGGGUGAAAUAUAUCUUUGCUAGCUAGAAAAGGCCUUGUCUAUACUCAUGAAAGUUGAUCCAGAAUAAGAAUUUAAAUUAGAUCAAGUCCAUGGCUGGAUGCUCCUAUUCUGGAAUAAAAGCAUCUGCCCAUGGAGUUAAUUUGGAAUGGCUACUUCACGACAACCAAGCCAUAACUCUCCGUGCAGACAAACCCUGAGUGAGCAGACUGUGCUGGACAAGGGAAGUUUUUUUUUUUUUUUUAAAAAAAGACAAGAAUGCAGUAGUUUGAAAAAUUAUUGAAAAAUGCAAUACAAGAAACAAUAUUAACACUUAGGUCUGUCUAAACACUAAAGCAACUUUCCCUUUGAAUUACUACAAAAGUCCAAAACAACAGCUUCUGUCAUUUACUAUUCAAUCUAUAAAGAUUUGCCAGUUUUAAGUCUGUUGUGAUAUUUCCUAUUUGUUGUAAAGAAAAGAUGUAAACAGCUAUUCUAGACAAUUCACAAUUGUUUUAAAAAAAAUGUACAAAGCUCCUUCAUAUUUGCAACUAAAUUUUGAUUAAACUUGUAAAAAACCCCACGGUUGGGACACAAACAUCUCUUAAGGUAAUUGUACAUUGUAUGAAAUCAGCAAACUAAAGUUUACUAAAAUCAAAACUCAGUCAGUCCUUUAAUACAGCUGUAUUGCUUGGAGAUUGCAGUCUGGAAACCAAAGCUGCCUUUCCAGGUUAAUUAAUCAGAGGUCUUGCUUCUCCUGCCUUCCUUUCUAUACAUUCAUUCAUAUAUAAAUAGCUUCCGUAAAGUGUAUACUAUACAAUCAAGCCAGUCUCUGGCUUACCUCCUGGACUGGGAAUAGCUGAGAACAUUCAUAUCUUAUCAAUACAGACCUUGUUCACGUUACAUUGACAUGAGCAGCGCUGGUCCCUGGAAAUUCACAGUUCAUGGUGGACCAAAUUUUAAAACUCAAUCUGAUCAACUCAUUGUAGGAGAAAAAGGUGAAAAGUGGGAUGGGGCACAAGCAGUUUUGCAGCCCUGUCUUGCAAAGGUAGAAGUUAAUUUAGUUAGUAGUAGUAGGUAGAGGGAAUCUUACUAAAAGCUAUUUUCUUCCCUGUCCCUCUAUGAAAAGCUCAACUGCUUCAGCAGGAGCAGUCCCAGUGGCAACCCCUAUUCCUCUCCAAGGAAUUCUGGACUAGGAGAACCUUCUGCUUGUAAAAACUUGCUCCUCAGAGGUAUGCUGGGGUUGCCUGGGUGUGGCAGCUAGGAAUCCCUACUGAAAGGUCACCAGUGCCCAAGGGGAAAAGUUUGGCCUGCCUUCAGAAGCCAGUUUGGUUUGCACUGUGUUUUGUCCCACGAAGAGAGCACUGAUGUGUAAUAUCAAAGGGUGAACAGAAGAAACAAGCGCACUUAACGCUAUCUAAAAGUUCUACUAUUCUAUGUCUUGUCCCUUUUUAAGAAGGGUACUACUGCCAAGGCAGAAGCCUGUAACAUGCUAGGAAAUGCUUGUGCACCAUUGUUUGGGAAAGGAAAAACUUCUCACCAACAAGAAACUCUUCUGGAUCUUAGACAAGUCAAAAUUUCUGUUCCUUAGGAGAUGAUUUUUUUUUUUUUAAAGUAAGAUCAAACUUCGUGCUGCCUCUGCUUUAUUGAACAAGGCUGGGUGUGAACUAAGUUACAGCUGUGUCAAGGUCCUUAGUACUUCCUUCACUACUUAAAGUGGCAUAUCUAAACCUUCACAACCACUAUAUGCCUUUAAGUGCUAUGAGCAGAUUAAACAUUUGGUGGCUCUAAAAGUCCCAUGAAGCCAGCUAUGAAGAACUAGGAAACUUUUUAUGAAUAUUGUGCAUACUGCUUGCAAUAGCAUGUUAGAGCAACCAAACAGGAAAGGCAAAACAAUGACCUAGAUAAUGAACAUCCCAGCAAAUGCUCAACCACACCUGCCAGAUUAUUAGUUGUACUCACCAGGAGCCAGCAAAGCUACAGAGAUGUUUUUACCCCUCCCUUUUCAGCCUUAGUAAGACAGUAGCCAGUUGUAGGAUUUGCCCCUAAGAAAGGGAAGGGGAGACAGGUUUGGCAGCAGACUGAAAAGGGCUGUGGAGAUGCAAACUAACCCUCAGAUUCAGGAGCAGGGGCUGGUAUAAACUGGGCCUACCUAAGCUAUGGUUAGAGAGGUUGACUCAUACAUAUAGGCCUCUUAGGGCUUGCCUGCACUUGCACAUUAUACUGCAAUAAAGCCUCCUAGAGCUCUCAACCUUACUCCCUGUCCACACUGGCAAGGCACAUGGAGUGCUCCUGGUACUCCACUUCCACGAGAGGAUUAACAGCUGUUGCGUAUUGGGUGAGACGCUGCAGCUCCAGUGUAAUUGAGGAGUUACGUGACAGGCUUUGAUUGAGUGGCCUCUCUUGUCUUUGUUGUGAACUCUGAAAGGGCCACUUCCGCAUUCCUCCCAAGCUCCGUUUGGGAGUGCCGGCUGCUUAUCUGGUCCGAGAAAAAAAACAAACAGCUAAUGUUUGCUUUGAGUGAGUGAGAGAGGUGGGGGAAGGAGUGGAUCUGAACUUACAAGACAGCAUGCUGACAAGCUCUCAGCACCCCAAAAAUCCACUCUUUCUCCCCCCACAUACACACUCCACCCCCCCAUUUGAAAAGCACACUGCAGCCACUUGAAAGCUGGGAUAGCUGCCCAUAACGCACCACUCCCAAUACAGCUGCAAGUGCUGCAAAUGUGGCCAUGCCAGUGCGCUUUCAGCUCUCAGUGUGGACAGACUGGAGCGCUUUCCCUAGUGUGCUCUCUGAAGCCUGGUUUAACCCAAAGCGUAGACAAGCCCUUACUAACCCUCUGUGCUAUAUACCUUUCGGAUGAACGAGUGAAAUGCUUUGUUUUGACAAAAUUGUGUCACUGCAAGCUUAUUCUGGGAGGAAAUUGCCUUACAGAUGCACAAUCAGGUUGGGCCUGUCAGAUUUUUGUGGCUGGUAAACAGAGGGCCUGGAGCUCCCGUCUAAAGACCAUGUGGUUCCACCCAGAGCAGGAAACCAGGUUUGUCAGCCAAAGGGUGCAACCCUGAGAGACUGAAAGGGGGUCUAAAUUGCAGUUCACCAGCAAACUGCACAUUUAAAUGUCUGCCUAGAGGAGGUAAAGUAGCAUCCCCCAAAACAGCUGCCUUCAUAGGAAGCAAGAUGCUGAUAACUACACCAGUAUUCAAGCAGCUCCAUAAUCCUUUCAAAGACAGUGUCUCCAGCCAAUACUAACAAUUUACUUUAAGGUGGGGUGCAAUUUUAAUUGUGAAGACAGUGCCAUUUAAAGACAAUUUUUCAAUCAAAUAGUAAGUCGUUGAGUCUAGCUCAGUCUUCUACCUCUUUUUAAAAAAACAAAAAACA